AUACGCGUGUGUGAAGAAGGCUGAGGGUUGUAAGCACUUUCAAUGGGAAGGAAUACCUAUGGGUUAAUACCCUGUAGACUGACAUUACCCAUGCAAGAAGCACCGGCUAACUCCGUGCCAGCAGCCGCGGUAAUACGGAGGGUGCAAGCGUUAAUCGGAAUUACUGGGCGUAAAGCGUGCGUAGGCGGUAAUCUAAGUCAGAUGUGAAAGCCCAGGGCUUAACCUUGGAACUGCAUUUGAUACUGGGUGACUAGAGUUGAGUAGAGGAGAGUGGAAUUUCAGGUGUAGCGGUGAAAUGCGUAGAGAUCUGAAGGAACACCAGUGGCGAAGGCGGCUCUCUGGACUCAAACUGACGCUGAGGUACGAAAGCGUGGGUAGCAAACAGGAUUAGAUACCCUGGUAGUCCACGCCGUAAACGAUGUCAACUAACCGUAGGGUUCUUAAAGAACUUAGUGGUGGAGCUAACGUAUUAAGUUGACCGCCUGGGGAGUACGGACGGAAGGCUAAAACUCACAUGAAUUGACGGGGGCCC
rnacentral:rRNA from 1 species